rnacentral:rRNA from 1 species
GACAGAGGGUGCAAACGUUGUUCGGAAUCACUGGGCAUAAAGCGCACGUAGGCUGCCUUCUAAGUCAGGUGUGAAAUCCCCCGGCUCAACCGGGGAACUGCACUUGAUACUGGAAGGCUCGAGGUUGGUAGGGGUGGAUGGAACUCCAGGUGGAGCGGUGAAAUGCGUAGAUAUCUGGAGGAACACCGGAGGCGAAAGCGAUCCACUGGGCCAAAUCUGACGCUGAGGUGCGAAAGCUAGGGUAGCAAACGGG